rnacentral:rRNA from 1 species
UACGUAGGGCGCGAGCGUUAUCCGGAAUUAUUGGGCGUAAAGAGCUCGUAGGCGGUUUUGUCGCGUCUGCUGUGAAAACUGGAGGCUCAACCUCCAGCCUGCAGUGGGUGCGGGCAGACUCGAGUGCGGUAGGGGAGAUUGGAAUUCCUGGUGUAGCGGUGGAAUGCGCAGAUAGUCAGGAGGAACACCGAUGGCGAAGGCAGAUCUCUGGGCCGUAACUGACGCUGAGGAGCGAAAGCAUGGGGAGCGAACAGG